UGCUGUUGAAAUGAGUCGCUCCCUGUGACGCUCCCUGUCCCUUUGAGUGUUAGGAGAUGAGAUCAUAGAGACACACUGGUGAACAGGAAAGGCUGGUGCACUGAUAGUUCGCCAGUCUCUCUUGCUGCUGAGAGCUGAGCUAUAAAAGCCCUCUCCCCCUCAGCUGGAGCCCAUUUCUUGCUCUGAAGUCUCACAGUGGGGAAAGCAGGGAUGAAGCUACUCUUUGCAGCUACUUUUGCACUCUUUGUGCUGUCUGCCUUUGACCAGGCUGACUCCUCAGCUUAUGACAA